CGCGCAGGCGGUGAUUUAAGCAGGAUGUGAAAGGCUACGGCUCAACCGUAGACAUGCACCCUGAACUGGGUCACUUGAGUAUUGGAGAGGCAGGCAGAAUUCCUGGUGUAACGGUGAAAUGCGUAGAUAUCAGGAGGAAUACCGGAGGCGAAGGCGGCCUGCUGGACAAAUACUGACGCUGAGGCGCGAAGGCGUGGGAGCAAACA
rnacentral:rRNA from 1 species